rnacentral:hammerhead_ribozyme from 1 species
AUCCAGCUGAAGAGUACCGAAUAGGAUGAGACAUGUGUCCUGGAU